UAAUCUACCUUCCGGCGGGGGACAACAGUCCGAAAGGAUUGCUAAUACCGCGUACGUCGGCAGGGUCUACGGACCUUGUCGGGAAAGAUGGCCUCUCCUUGGAAGCUGUCACCGGAAGAUGAGCCCGCGGCCCAUCAGCUAGUUGGUGAGGUAACGGCUCACCAAGGCUUAGACGGGUAGCUGGUCUGAGAGGAUGAUCAGCCACACUGGGACUGCGACACGGCCCAG
rnacentral:rRNA from 1 species